rnacentral:rRNA from 1 species
CCUACGGGUGACAGCAGUGAGGAAUAUUGGUCAAUGGGCGUAAGCCUGAACCAGCCAAGUCGCGUGAGGGAUGAAGGUUCUAUGGAUCGUAAACCUCUUGUAUAAGGGAAUAAAGUGUGGGACGUGUCCUGUUUUGUAUGUACCUUAUGAAUAAGGAUCGGCUAACUCCGUGCCCGCAGCCGCGGUAAUACGGAGGAUCCGAGCGUUAUCCGGAUUGACUGGGCUGAAAGGGUGCGUAGGCGGCCUUUUAAGUCAGCGGUGAAAGUCUGUGGCUCAACCAUCGAAUUGCCGUUGAAACUGGGAGGCUUGAGUAUGUUUGAGGCAGGCGGAAUGCGUGGGGUAGCGGUGAAAUGCUUAGAUAUCAGGCAGAACCCCGAUUGCGAAGGCAGCCGGCCAAGCCAUGACUGACGCUGAGGCACGAAAGCGUGGGGAGCAAACAGGAUUAGAUACCCGGGUAGUC